AGAGUUUGAUCCUGGCUCAGGAUGAACUUUGGCGGCGUGCCUAACACAUGCAAGUCGAGCGAAGCGCUGUUUUCAGAAUCUUCGGAGGAAGAGGAUAGUGACUGAGCGGCGGACGGGUGAGUAACGCGUGGGCAACCUGCCUCAUACAGGGGGGAUAACAGCCAGAAAUGGCUGCUAAUACCGCAUAAGACCGAAGCGCCGCAUGGCGCGGCGGCCAAAGCCCCGGCGGUGCAAGAUGGGCCCGCGUCUGAUUAGAUAGUUGGUGAGGUAACGGCUCACCAAGUCGACGAUCGGUAGCCGGACUGAGAGGUUGAACGGCCACAUUGGGACUGAGACACGGCCCAGACUCCUACGGGAGGCAGCAGUGGGGAAUAUUGCACAAUGGGCGAAAGCCUGAUGCAGCAACGCCGCGUGAGGGAAGACGGUUUUCGGAUUGUAAACCUCUGUUUUCGGUGACGAAUAAAUGACGGUAACCGAGUAGGAAGCCACGGCUAACUACGUGCCAGCAGCCGCGGUAAUACGUAGGUGGCAAGCGUUAUCCGGAAUUACUGGGUGUAAAGGGAGCGCAGGCGGGAUAGCAAGUCAGCUGUGAAAACUAUGGGCUCAACCCAUAAACUGCAGUUGAAACUGUUAUUCUUGAGUGGAGUAGAGGCAAGCGGAAUUCCGAGUGUAGCGGUGAAAUGCGUAGAUAUUCGGAGGAACACCAGUGGCGAAGGCGGCUUGCUGGGCUCUAACUGACGCUGAGGCUCGAAAGUGUGGGGAGCAAACAGGAUUAGAUACCCUGGUAGUCCACACUGUAAACGAUGAU
rnacentral:rRNA from 1 species